UACGUAGGGUGCUAGCGUUAUCCGGAUUUACUGGGCGUAAAGGGUGCGUAGGUGGUCUUUCAAGUCGGUGGUUAAAGGCUACGGCUCAACCGUAUUAAGCCGCUGAAACUGGUAGACUUGAGUGCAGGAGAGGAAAGUGGAAUUCUCAGUGUAGCGGUGAAAUGCGUAGAUAUUGAGAAGAACACCAGUAGCGAAGGCAGCUUUCUGGGCUAUGACUGACGCUGAGGCGCGAAAGCGUGGGUAGCAAACAGG
rnacentral:rRNA from 1 species